UUUUUACCACAGAUAUCAGAUGCUGGAGGGUUCUGAGGAAGGCAGGAGAAAGAAUCAGCCCCUCAAUCCCCUCCAUCCAGGAGAAGGAGCAAGCUGACCUCUGGUGGCCUCUGUUUUAUGUAGUUCCAUAAGGUCAAAUCAACACCGUUUCCAUUCCCUUUGGUCCUCCCAACAAGAUGAAAGCGUGGGGAUGUUUCUGCCUGCGUGUGUAUGCACAGGCUCCGGGAUUACAAAUUACCACCCUAUUUAGAGCCGAGAAUCAUCAGUUUCAUUAUAAAAGCCUCUGGAGGCCAUUGUGCGAGUUGAAAGCCGGUUGGAUUUUCCUAUUCAAACCAGAUCCCAGCGGGGUUAUGGAGACGUCAAAUGAUCAGUCAUUGAUUGGAGUCCAGAAUUACUUGGAGAAGGCAGUGCAGAACCUAAAGCCUGUUGCUCCUAUCAAGUUCCACAUCUCCAGCCGCACAGAUACUGGUGUCCAUGCACUCUGCAACUCUGCUCACCUUGACAUCCAGAGGGCUCCAGGGAAGCCAGCUUUUGAGGAGAACCAGCUUGUCCGUGCUCUUAAUCGCUACCUGAAGCCUGAGCCAAUCUGCAUUCUGAAUGCCCACCGGGUGCCCAGCACCUUCCAUGCACGCUUCUCUGCGCUGUCAAGAACCUACAUCUAUCGGCUGUUGAUGGGCUGCUCUCAUCAUUCUGAAAUCCCAGUGUUUGAAAGGGAUCUCUGCUGGGCUCCUGGGGCAGGCUACCUGAAUGUUCCUGCCAUGCAGGAGGCAGCUCAGUUCCUGGUGGGAACCCAUGACUUCAGCACCUUUCGCUCUCUUAGCUCUGAAACACCUUUUCAGAGUCCAAUCAGAACCCUCUUCCAGGUGGACAUCCAACCCUCCUCUGGUUUCCUGUCCCACCACUAUGAACACAGGGGACUGGAGUUUUGGGAGUUGAAGUUCAGGAGCAGAUCCUUUCUUUACCGCCAGGUCCGAAGGAUGGUUGGGGCUCUCGUUGCAGUUGGCCAGGGCAAGCUAACUCCUCAUCAUAUAAAGGAGUUACUGGAGUUAAAAGACUCAAGGGCUUUUCCACCCAACGCCAUGGCUCCGGCAUCCGGGCUCUUCCUGAAAUCCGUGGAAUACAGUGAAGCAGAUUUGGACACUACAGUGGCCCCAGGAGAAUAGCAGCUCUGUGAGAUACAGAAAGGACUGCUGAGGAUGUGGGAUGGAGGGACUAACUCCCAAAGAAGACAACAGAACCUUGGAGGAGCCUUGGGUCUCUACCAUAGAAAAGGAGGGUUGAGGCUGCUCUGUUGGUGCAGUGGUACCUGUUUGUGCUUUUGUGGUCCAGCCUUGCUGGAGCAAGGCAGCAGAGCUCUGCAGUGCAUCUUGCAGGGCAGCACGCUCUGUGCUGUUACAGCCCCUACACGGAAGAGCUCAGCAGUGACCUCGCGGUUGUGAGGACUCUGGAGAGCCCAGCGUGCUCAUGUGCAGCUUUG